GCCUACGGGGGGCAGCAGUAGGGAAUUUUCGUCAAUGGGCGCAAGCCUGAACGAGCGAUGCCGCGUGAGUGAAGAAGGCCUUCGGGUCGUAAAGCUCUGUUGCGGGGGAAAAAAGGCAGCAUCAGGAAAUGGGUGCUGACUGAUGGUGCCCCGCCAGAAAGUCACGGCUAACUACGUGCCAGCAGCCGCGGUAAUACGUAGGUGGCGAGCGUUAUCCGGAAUGAUUGGGCGUAAAGGGCGCGUAGGCGGUUUAAUAAGUCAGUGGUGAA
rnacentral:rRNA from 1 species